AGCAAAUUGACCUCCGCCCGCACUCAAGGUCGUCUCCCUCCCCUUCCAUCUCCUGUACCAGCACAGCCGCCGCCGCCGCGAGCUAGGGUUAUGGCCCAGCGAGCUCAAGAACCAAUCUCCCUCCCUUGAGACAAAUUUGUGCGAGUUGCCUCCCUCUCUCCCUCCCCCCUCUCUCUCUGACAUCAAGCGCUCAAGCGUGAGCGCCCCAAAUCACACGGUCCGUCGGCGGCUCGCCGCGAUUGUGGCUACCUAGCGACGCGGCGCUGCAGCUCCGGGGAUAUCAACGCCACGGUUGAUCAGGAGCCAGACAUCGUCUUUUUAUUGCUAAAGGAUCCACGGUAACCAUGGAGUCAAUGGCAAGUACUGCUCUAAGUAUUGGGUCAACUACGGCAAUGGGAGUUGAAGAUGAUGCCAGCAGCUCUGCCGUGGGCAUGAUCCGGUUGGUGGGAAAUGAUGAAAAUACCUACAACACGCCAAAAAGAACUACCAGUCUUCCGUUUUGUGGGGUCAACAUAUGAGCCUGAGUGUGAUGAUAACUUAAAGCCCGUAAUUGGCAUGAAGUUUGACACCUGGGAAGAGGGCAUGGCACUAUACAAAAUGUAUGCUCAUGAGGUUGGGUUCUCGGUCCGCACAUGGACAACACACAAAGAUGAUCAGGGUGUACCAGUGUGGAA